rnacentral:rRNA from 1 species
AGAGCGAACGCCGGCGGCAGGCCUAACACAUGCAAGUCGAGCGCCCCGCAAGGGGAGCGGCAGACGGGAGAGUAACACGUGGGAACGUACCCUUUGGUUCGGAACAACACAGGGAAACUUGUGCUAAUACCGGAUAAGCCCUUACGGGGAAAGAUUUAUUGCCAAAGGAUCGGCCCGCGUCUGAUUAGCUUGUUGGUGAGGUAACGGCUCACCAAGGCUACGAUCAGUAGCUGGUCUGAGAGGAUGAUCAGCCUCACUGGGACUGAGACACGGCCCAGACUCCUACGGGAGGCAGCAGUGGGGAAUAUUGGACAAUGGGCGCAAGCCUGAUCCAGCCAUGCCGCGUGGAUGAUGAAGGCCCUAGGGUUGUAAAGUCCUUUCGACGGGGAAGAUAAUGACGGUACCGUAGAAGAAGCCCCGGCUAACUUCGUGCCAGCAGCCGC